rnacentral:lncRNA from 1 species
UUGCUCCUUCCGGUGCUAGUGAGAUUUCUCUUUCUUGUCCUCUUCUUCCUUUUGUUCUCUUACGCUGCCUGCUCUCUGCCCAGGUCUAGGCUGAGAGGAGAGAACCUGGUCCACCUGAGGCUCUCCUGGGCUGAAGAGGGAUGGGGCCUUACAACUGCAGGACUCUUAUAUGUCUUAUCCUACAUUGGGAUCCCUGCUUGUGACAGAAGUUCCCCAUUCCAGAUGGAGCUCCCUAGCACAAAACAUCAACAGGCCACAAGUGACAGCUGCAACAGCAGUGGAGCAAAGCAAACUGUAAGAAGCUGCUGCCAAUUUCCAGAGACUUCAGACUGGCACCCGAAGAGUCCACAGGUGUGAGCCACAGUGACUGCCUACUGAUUGAGUCUGGGGAUCCUUGUGAACCGCCUGAACAAUGCUGGGAAAUGCCUGUGCCUGAGUGACCCCAGCUAUGGCCAGUACUCAAUUACUACUUUGGCCUUUUGGUACUGUCCCAAAAGAAGCUGCUAUCCUGAAUUCAGUGGCCAGGGACUAUCGGCAACUGAAAGCAUUUAACAGUAUAGGAUAAAGACUUAGAAGAGUCCCCUGUGAGUGGAAUCAGGCACUGUCAGCUUCCCAUGGCACAUGUGAUGUGGAUUCCUUGUGAUGACACUGUGAUCUUCAGCUCUCAAGCCAUUGAGAACCUGAAAAGAAAUGGGACCAGAAACAAUAGAGGAAUGAAAAUAUAGGAGAAGGGUUUAAGGAUCCAGAGUUCCAGGGAGCUGUCUUCAGGGCUGAGAACUGUAACACUAAUCCCUGUACAGGUAAAACCUACAAGUCCUAAUGCUAGAAGUCUUCAUGUGGAUUAUAAUAUGUAGAGGUAAAGGUUCUGAUAAUUCAGCCCAGCGAAGGGACUGAAGUCUUUGAGGAUACUCCUUGAUGUCAUGUCUACUACAAACCUGUCUUACCAUCAGACACACAGGGGAAAAGAAAAUAUACCAGAAGCCAGCAUUUCUUUUUUUUUAAUUAGGUAUUUUCCUCAUUUACAUUUCCAAUGCGAUCCCAAUGCUAUUCCAAUGCAUACCCCCCCCACUCCCCUACCCACCCACUCCCCCGUUUUGGCCCUGGCGUUCCCCUGUACUGGGGCAUAUAAAGUUUGUAAGUCCAAUGGGCCUCUCUUUCCAGUGAUGGCCUACUAGGCCAUCUUUUGAUACAUAUGCAGCUAGAGUCAAGAGCUCCGGGGUAUUGGUUAGUUCAUAUUGUUGUUCCACCUAUAGGGUUGCAGAUCCUUUUAGCUCCUUGGGUACUUUCUCUAGCUCCUCCAUUGGGAGCCCUGUGAUCCAUCCAAUAGCUGACUGUGAGCAUCCACUUCUGUGUUGGCUAGGCCCCGGCAUAGUCUCACAAUAGACAGCUCUAUCUGGGUCUUUCAGCAAAAUCUUGCUAGUGUAUGCAAUGGUGUCAGCGUUUGGAGGCUGAUUAUGGGAUGAAUCCCCAGAUAUGGCAGUCUCUAGAUGUCUCAGCUCCAAACUUUGUCUCUGUAACUCCUUCCAUGGGUGUUUUGUUCCCAAUUCUAAGAAGGGGCAAAGUGUCCACACUUUGAUCUUCGUUCUUCUUGAGUUUCAUGCGUUUAGCAAAUUGUAUCUUAUAUCUUGGGUAUCUUAAGUUUCUGGGAUAAUAUCCACUUAUCAGUGAGUACAUAUUGUGUGAGUUCCUUUGUGAUUGGGUUACCUCACUCAGGAUGAUGCCCUCCAGGUCCAUCCAUUUGCCUAGGAAUUUCAUAAAUUCAUUCUUUUUAAUAGCUGAGUAGUACCAGCAUUUCAAAAAGCUUCUUGCUACCCAUGAUUCCUAUCCAAGAAGAACAAACCAAUCCUCAGCUUAUUAGUGAGAAGUACACCACUGAGGUCACAAUUCAAACAAACUGUGACAUCAUUGCUUUCAAUGUCCUGUUGGCUAGUACGAGUCACAAGGUCAUCCCAAGGCAGGAGGAAGAAUGAGACACCUUAAAUGGAUGGGUCAAAGAGGACUUCUCGGGGUUUAGAAUAUUUUAGAAACCAAACAUAUUUCCUUAUGUGGAAAAGCUAGCCCAUGGCCUUAACAGAGGAAAUGUCUAUAAACUCUGCUUUGAAGACUGGUUUUGGUUCAAUGAUUUUGACAUCUCAAAUGUAAAUCUUUGACAUGGUUUAUCACUUAAUUUUUAAUAGUCAAACCACUCUUCAGAAAUCAUGGGAAACAAUUGCCUUAGAAAGAUAAAAAAAACCACAACAAUAACAAAUUCUGUGUGUGAAUUCUAACUCUUCAGCUUCAUUAGAUGUUCCUAUUUCCAUCUCUUUGCUUCUAUUGUGUAUUUUAAUGAAAACAGGACACAAAUCGAGCAAACACAACCAGGAACUGUCUAAUACAAAUAUAUGGUUCUUCAAUUU